rnacentral:rRNA from 1 species
AAGUAGGUCGGGACACGUGUUAUCUUGACUGAAGAUAGGGGGACCAUCCUCUAAGGCUAAAUACUACCAACUGACCGAUAGUGAACCAGUACCGUGAGGGAAAGGCGAAAAGAACCCCUGUGAGGGGAGUGAAAUAGAACCUGAAACCGUGUACGUACAAGCAGUGGGAGCACGCUUAGGCGUGUGACUGCGUACCUUUUGUAUAAUGGGUCAGCGACUUCGUCUCUCGAGCAAGCUUAAGCCGAUAGGUGUAGGCGCAGCGAAAGCGAGUCUUAAUAGGGCGACUGAGUUCGAGGGAUGAGACCCGAAGCCGGGUGAUCUAGCCAUGAGCAGGUUGAAGGUGCGGUAACACGCACUGGAGGACCGAACCCACGUCUGUUGAAAAAGACGGGGAUGACUUGUGGCUAGGGGUGAAAGGCCAAUCAAACCCGGAAAUAGCUGGUUCUCCGCGAAAUCUAUUUA